UUAACUAGAGAUCGGCUCGGCUGAAAUAUACGAGUAACCCAGUUUGAACAU
rnacentral:rRNA from 1 species